rnacentral:rRNA from 1 species
AUUGAACGCUGGCGGCAGGCCUAACACAUGCAAGUCGAACGAGUGGCGGACGGGUGAGUAAUGUCUGGGAAACUGCCUGAUGGAGGGGGAUAACUACUGGAAAAGGUAGCUAAUACCGCAUACCAUCAGAUGUGCCAAGAUGGGAUUAGCUUGUUGGGGGGGUAACGGCUCACCAAGGCGACGAUCCCUAGCUGGUCUGAGAGGAUGACCAGCCACACUGGGACUGAGACACGGGCCAGACUCCUACGGGAGGCAGCAGUGGGGAAUUUUGCACAAUGGGGGCAACCCUGAUUCAGCCAUGCCGCGUGUAUGAUGAAGGCCUUCGGGUUGUAAAGUACUUUUGGCAGAGAGGCGGUAUCCGCACAAUAAGCACCGGCUAACUACGUGCCAGCAGCCGCGGUAAUUC